UACGUAGGGACCAAGCGUUGUUCGGAUUUACUGGGCGUAAAGGGCGCGUAGGCGGCUUAACAAGUCACUUGUGAAAUCUCCGGGCUUAACUCGGAACGGCCAAGUGAAACUGUCAAGCUAGAGUGCGGAAGGGGCAACUGGAAUUCUUGGUGUAGCGGUGAAAUGCGUAGAUAUCAAGAGGAACACCUGCGGCGAAGGCGGGUUGCUGGGCCGACACUGACGCUGAGGCGCGAAAGCUAGGGGAGCGAACGGG
rnacentral:rRNA from 1 species